rnacentral:rRNA from 1 species
GGGUCAGUAGGUUGGUCAUGCCACUGGUAUGUACUGGUCUCACUGAUUCCUCCUUCCUGAUGAACUGUAAUGCCAUUAAUUUGGUGUUGCAGGGAAUCUGGACUGUUACUUUGAAAAAAUUAGAGUGCUCAAAGCAAGCCUACGCUCUGGAUACAUUAGCAUGGGAUAGCAUUAUAGGAUUUCGGUCCUAUUACGUUGGCCUUCGGGAUCGGAGUA